GAGAGCCUCUGGGUAAGAAUGAGGGGACAAACAAAUAAUGUAGAUCUCAUUGUGGGAGUCUACUAUAGAGCUGCUGGCCAGGAUGAUGAUGCUGAUGAAUUAUUCUUUGAGGAACUAAGGGACACUUCCAAAUCAACUGCCCUUGUCCUUAUGGCGGACUUCAACUUGCCAGAAAUUAAUUGGGAGCAUCACACAGCUGGUACAACCUGACCCAGAAGAUUCCUAAAAAACCUGGAUAACAACUUUUUGGAACAGGUCCUAAGGGAGCAAACUUGGAAAGAUGCCCUCCUUGAUCUGCUGCUGGUCAACAGAGUGGAUCUUGUGAGUGAAGCAGUGAUUGGUGACGAUCUUGGCCACAGCGACCACAGGGUGAUUGAGUUUAAAAUCUCCAUCGACUGGAGGAAAAGUGCCAGCAAAACCUCACCUCUGGACAUGAGGAGAGCAGAAUUCAGGCUACUCAGGAAAUUAGGCACAGGAACCGGCAAUUCCCAGAUGAUGGAAGACAAACAUGCGAGGCAGAAGGCUGGCUUGGCUAAGAAGGGUUCUUCUCUUGGAAAUAAGACAAAAAAGGAAGGUGUAUGCCAAAUGGAAACAAGGUCAAGUGACAUGGGAAGAAUUCAGAGAUGCUGCAUGCCACUGUAGGGAGAAAAUUUGUGUGGCCAAAGCUCAGCCAGAGUUGAAGCUGCCAGAAAUGUGGGGGACAAUAAAAAGAGUUUUUUCAGAUACAUUAA